GGGCAGCAUGUCGGUUGCUUGCAACCGACGAUGGCGACCGGCGCCCGGGUGAGUAACGCGUAUCCAACCUACCCUUGUCCAUCGGAUAACCCGUCGAAAGGCGGCCUAACACGAUAUGCGGUUCACCGCAGGCAUCUAACGUGAACGAAAUGUGAAGGAGAAGGAUGGGGAUGCGUCUGAUUAGCUUGUUGGCGGGGUAACGGCCCACCAAGGCAACGAUCAGUAGGGGUUCUGAGAGGAAGGUCCCCCACAUUGGAACUGAGACACGGUCCAAACUCCUACGGGAGGCAGCAGUGAGGAAUAUUGGUCAAUGGACGAGAGUCUGAACCAGCCAAGUAGCGUGCAGGAAGACGGCCCUAUGGGUUGUAAACUGCUUUUAUAGGGGGAUAAAGUGUGCCACGUGUGGCAUAUUGCAGGUACCCUAUGAAUAAGGAUCAGCUAACUCCGUGCCAGCAGCCGCGGUAAUACGGAGGAUCCGAGCGUUAUCCGGAUUUAUUGGGUUUAAAGGGAGCGUAGGCGGAUGCUUAAGUCAGUUGUGAAAGUUUGCGGCUCAACCGUAAAAUUGCAGUUGAUACUGGGUGUCUUGAGUACAGUAGAGGUAGGCGGAAUUCGUGGUGUAGCGGUGAAAUGCUUAGAUAUCACGAAGAACUCCGAUUGCGAAGGCAGCCUGCUGGACUGUAACUGACGCUGAUGCUCGAAAGUGUGGGUAUCAAACAGGAUUAGAUACCCUGGUAGUCCACACAGUAAACGAUGAAUAGCUUGCUGUUAGCGAAAUACAGUAAGCGGUCAAGCGAAAGCGUUAAGUAUUCCAAGUGGGGAGGUACGCCGGCAUCGGUGAGACUCAAAGGAAUUGCCGGGGGCCCGCACAAGCGGAGGAACAUGUGGUUUAAUUCGAUGAUACGCGAGGAACCUUACCCGGGCUUGAAUAGCAACUGAAUGAUGUGGAAACAUGUCAGCCGCAAGGCAGUUGUGAAGGUGCUGCAUGGUUGUCGUCAGCUCGUGCCGUGAGGUGUCGGCUUAAGUGCCAUAACGAGCGCAACCCUUAUCGAUAGUUACCAUCAGGUCAUGCUGGGGACUCUGUCGAGACUGCCGUCGUAAGAUGUGAGGAAGGUGGGGAUGACGUCAAAUCAGCACGGCCCUUACGUCCGGGGCUACACACGUGUUACAAUGGGGGGUACAGAAGGCAGCUACACGGCGACGUGAUGCUAAUCCCUAAAGCCUCUCUCAGUUCGGAUUGGAGUCUGCAACCCGACUCCAUGAAGCUGGAUUCGCUAGUAAUCGCGCAUCAGCCACGGCGCGGUGAAUACGUAACCGGGCCUUGCAC
rnacentral:rRNA from 1 species